UUUUAUAUCGUUGGAUCAGGUGUCGUAAGACUUAAUAGGGAAUCCGGUAGAAGCCGGAGCGGUCCCGCCACUGUAACAGCGAGCCAGCCUGCAAGGAAUGUCACUGGGGCAAUGCCCUGGGAAGGCGCAGGUGCGCGAUGAGCUGGAGCCAGGAGAACUGCCUGAUGGACAAUCGCCAU
rnacentral:ncRNA from 2 species